rnacentral:rRNA from 1 species
UUUCGGAGAGUUUGAUCCUGGCUCAGGACGAACGCUGGCGGCGUGCCUAAUACAUGCAAGUCGAGCGGAUUGAUGGGAGCUUGCUCCCUGAAAUCAGCGGCGGACGGGUGAGUAACACGUGGGUAACCUGCCUGUAAGGCUGGGAUAACUCCGGGAAACCGGGGCUAAUACCGGAUAGUUCUUUUCCUCGCAUGAGGAAAAGUGGAAAGGCGGCUUCGGCUGCCACUUACAGAUGGACCCGCGGCGCAUUAGCUAGUUGGUGAGGUAACGGCUCACCAAGGCAACGAUGCGUAGCCGACCUGAGAGGGUGAUCGGCCACACUGGGACUGAGACACGGCCCAGACUCCUACGGGAGGCAGCAGUAGGGAAUCUUCCGCAAUGGACGAAAGUCUGACGGAGCAACGCCGCGUGAGU